rnacentral:rRNA from 1 species
UACGGGGGGGGCAAGCGUUGUUCGGAAUUACUGGGCGUAAAGGGCGCGUAGGCGGUCUACUAAGUUGGAUGUGAAAACUCUGGGCUUAACCCAGAGCCUGCAUUCAAAACUGAUAGGCUGGAGUUCUGGAGGGGAUAGCGGAAUUCCUGGUGUAGCGGUGAAAUGCGUAGAUAUCAGGAGGAACACCGGUGGCGAAGGCGGCUCUCUGGGCCUUACCUGACGCUGAGGAGCGAAAGCGUGGGUAGCGAACAGG